rnacentral:rRNA from 1 species
UACGAAGGGGGCUAGCGUUGUUCGGAAUUACUGGGCGUAAAGCGCGCGCAGGCGGUCCUUUAAGUCGGGGGUGAAAGCCCAGAGCUCAACUCUGGAACUGCCUUCGAAACUAGAGGACUUGGGUACGGGAGAGGUGAGUGGAAUUCCGAGUGUAGAGGUGAAAUUCGUAGAUAUUGGGAAGAAACACCGAGUGCGAAGGCGGCUCACUGGCCCCGU